rnacentral:lncRNA from 1 species
UGGCCAACAAAGAGGAACAAAACAUGAAAUUACAAUGGGAAGUCAGAAGAUGGGUGGAUUUACCUUUGCCUUUGUUCGGUUUCUCUGGUAGUCGCAAGGGAGAAGACAGCCUUCGACGUUGUGCUCAGCUUCGGGCGAUUCGACUAACAAUGGGAGUGAUUUCGACGUUGAGGAUCGUCGUCCAAGGCUGGGAAUGAGGUUGGCGAUUGCAGAGAGAGCUUCGACGUUGUGCUCAGCUUCGGGCAAUUCGACGGACAAUGGGAGUGAUUUCGACGUUGACGAUCGUCGUCCAAGGCUGGGAGUGAGGUCGGCGAUUGCAGAGAGAGGGCAGAGAGAGGGUCGGCGAUUGCAGAGAGAGCUUCGACGUUGUUUUAGGUGAGAGGCGACGUUUGGCUUUCUCUUCCUUCAUCUCGCUUUUUUUUUCUUUGUUUUUCUUCUCCAAACACCUCCUCCCUGACACAAAUCUACAAUUAAUGCAAAACCUGUAAGGUAUUACAUUUAUGCAGAGGGGUAAAUUAGUCCAAAACUUUCAUAAUUUGUCUUAUUUGUAAUGUCAGAAAAAG